GCUGCCUGAUUUAAAUAGAUUUUCCCUCAAAUAAACUCUUAACAUUUUUAAUAUGCCUCAGUUUAUCUCUUAACAGUCCUGCUGGUAGAAGAGAGCACAAAAGGGACCCCGACAGCCCUCAGAAGAAUGAGCAAGCAGGUGUUAGUGCCUCGCGCUCCCUGCUUUCUGGCUGCCUCUGGAGGUCAGAGGUGAGUGCCUUUCAGAUCCUGGAUCCCAGCUCCACACCUUCUGUAUUAUGAACUUUCAGACUUUACUUGAACAUUUCCCUUUCUAGAAUGCAUGUGAAAACUGGCUGGAGUCAGACCGGGUCCAACUUAAAACCCAGACUAGAUCCGAACCAGACGAAAUCCAACUUAGACUAGCCUGGGUCCAAUGUGAGGCCUCAGGUGAAUACGAUUUUGUUUUAAGGUUGAACAAGUGGAUUAACGUUUUAGAAGGUAAUCUUGAAUCAGAGGGACCACGGUGGAGAACACGGAACCAUUGUAGAUAAACUCGUCCAUUUAUGAGGCGGCCUGUAGGGAAAGGGGUCUCGGGCAAGCACUUGGUAUAAAGGGUAGAGGGAAAAUUAUAUUUUCCUCUCCACAGUUUCUGGUGACCAGGAUGGGACCCACCGGGAUACUACUCCAACUCAGUCCAGAUUCCACGAACAGCAUCCUUGGAAAAUUGGCAGGAGCCAGCAACGAAAUGCAUACAACACCUUGGUGUUCAACCACACUGACCCCAGAGGACCCACCACUUUCCGACGCUACUGAUGUACUGAUGUCAUCUGUAGCUCACAGCUGCUUCCUGGUAUCUGUCUGACCUCUGGGAUAAAACAGGGCUUAGGAUGCUUUCUCAUUUACUCCAUGUCUUUACUUUUUUUCUCCAGAAGUAUGCUAAACUGAUAAAAAUCAACCAUGAGAUUACCUUGUAUUUUAGCACCAAGACUUCUCAGUUCUAGGCCUUAGAGGGUAAGCCCUUCAUUAUGGGUAACUGCACAAAUAAUAGCAAUUUAUUGGUAUAAAUUCCUUCUGGCCUGUCAGUAGAAAAUAUUUGGACUUUUUAUUAUUAUCAAUCAAAGUCACAAGUUUGAAAUUAGGAGCACAUGUAAAUUCAGCAAAUUUGAGUUCCUUUGUGUGUCAGUCCAGUGCUAGGUGCUUCCAUUUGGUCUCUCAUUUCAUCUCCUAAAAAUUCUUUGAGAUAAUUUCUCUUUCUACCAACUUUUUUUUUUUUCUUAUGAGAAAAAUAAUACCAAGAAUUUACCUGAUGUUGAGGGUCAAACAGUAACUAGCAGAGUUGUGAUUUGAAACUUAGGCUCCAAACGCUAACUUCACUCCUCUUUACACUAGAACAGUGAUUCCCAGAUCAGCAGCAUCAGCAUCUCCUGGGCAAUUCCUAGAAAUUAGUUCUCAGGUCUUGCCCCAGAUCUGGGGUUGACGGGGGGCAGACACCUGUGUACAUCCUCCAGAUAACGCAAGCUAAAGUCUGAGAACCAUUACACGACACAGUUGUGUACACAAAUGUAUGUAAUUUGGUCUACCCAGGUGGAUGGUUGAGUGAGUUAAAUGACUCUCAUCAUUGAAAAAC
rnacentral:lncRNA from 1 species